AAUAGAUGACGCCGUUGAUUUUUUCUCACAUGUUUGACCAUUUGUCUUAUUCAAAAAAUUUACGUAAUUAUAAUUUAUUUUAUUAUGAGUUGUUUUAGCACUCAUAUUACUUUAAGUGUGAUUUAUAUCUUAUGCAUUUGCAUAAAAUUUUUAAAUAAGACAAAUGGUCAAACAUGUGAUAAAAAGUCAACGGCGUCAUCUAUU
rfam:Oryza glumipatula chromosome 4, whole genome shotgun sequence.